UUGGAGGGCAAGUCUGGUGCCAGCAGCCGCGGUAAUUCCAGCUCCAAUAGCGUAUAUUAAAGUUGUUGCAGUUAAGAAGCUCGUAGUUGAAUUUCGGGAUUAGUACGUCGGUCGUGCCUUAGGUACGUACUGGUGUUACUGGUUCCUACCUUCUGACGAACCAUCAUGUCAUUAAUUUGGUGUGGUGGGGAAUCAGGACUGUUACUUUGAAAAAAUUAGAGUGUUUAAAGCAGGCUCGCGCUUGAAUACAUUAGCAUGGAAUAAUGAAAUAGGACGUUGAUCCUAUUUUGUUGGUUUCUAGGAUUGACGUAAUGAUUAAUAGGGAUAGUUGGGGGCAUUAGUAUUCAAUUGUCAGAGGUGAAAUUCUUGGAUUUAUUGAAGACUAACUACUGCGAAAGCAUUUGCCAAGGAUGUUUUCAUUAAUCAAGAACGAAAGUUAGGGGAUCGAAGACGAUCAGAUACCGUCGUAGUCUUAACCAUAAACUAUGCCGACUAGGGAUCGGAUGAUGUUAUUUUUAAUGACUCAUUCGGCGCCUUACGGGAAAC
rnacentral:rRNA from 1 species